GCCGGGGCCCCGCGGCCCGGGAACGGCAGUUCCGCCGCUCUGCCCUGCCCUGCCCGGUCCCGGCCGGGCUGGCGGUGCCCGGGGCCAGAUGCGGAUCUCAGAGCGGUUGGGGUUGGCAGGGACCUCUGGAGAUCAUCCACGGCAGCGUCACCCGGGCAGGUGGCGCAGGAACGCGUCCAGUUUUUGGCCGUCGCUUCUCAUCCUGUCGCUACCACGGAAGAGUCUGGCACCAUCCUCUGGCACCCCUUAGAGAUAUUUAAAUGCGUUGCUGAGAUCCACUCUCAUUCUUCUGUAGGCCAAACACUCCCUCAGUCUCUCCUCAUCAGAGAGAUGCUCCAGACCCCUCAUCAUCUUUGUGGCUGGACCAUCUCAGCAUCUUCGUGGCUUGGACUGGGGAACCCAGGAGCUGACACAAAGGUUCCCCAGAUCUGCCACCCGUGGCUGGGGACAUGGUGCUGCUGUGUCGGUUGUGCAUCCAUGGCUGGGAGGGGAAGGAGCCGAGGGAUGCCAGAGACUGCAGCUCCAGGGAUGCUCGUGCUCCUUGUCAGGCUGCACCUGAGCCACCUCACCGGGAAAAGGGCUCCCUGUCCCGUCUUCUGCUGCUUGGAUGCUGCAGGACAGCCAGAACAUUUGUUUUCACUGUGGUGAUUUCUGCUCCAAAGCACCUCUUCAGGGACAAAACACAGUGACAGACCUCUUUGGUACCCUCAGGAGCAGCAGCAGCACACGUUGCACCACAAGGCACCAACCCAUCCUCCAACUGUCCCCAAGGUGUGUCGCUCAGGCCAGGUAAAGCCACCUGGGAUGAUACAUCCCUGUGCAGGAGCACUGGACAUUUGCACUGGAGCACACCAGGCUACAGAGCACUGAGGUUGGACUCAAUAAUCCCAAAGGUCUUUUCCAACCUGAUUCUGGGAUUCUGUGAAAGUUCUAAAUCAAUUUUCUGUGCCACAGCAUUAAUAAGACAAUAAAAAUUAUGUACUUGCAAGCUCAUUAUUCAACAUACAUGGGCUGUUGGGGUGUUUGUUUCUCUUUGGAAUAAUAAUUGUAAUCGUUUAUUUGUUACAUUUUGUGGAGAAAAAGAUGCCACUAGAUGGCCAGAGACGGCAAGAGUGUAAUGCCAGCUACCCACUCUUAUAUUGCUGCAGUGUCACUUUGUCACAGAAGAUGCAAUAAUGCUGAUCUUCUUUUUCCCUCUUUCCAUUCUAAUCACAGUUGAAUUUGUGCAAGUGGGAACUCAAGAAACAACCUGCAGCUGAUGCCUUUUCCAGCUGUCUCCUAAAGAAUUCUGCUCUUGAAGCACAGAACAUCACUCACUGCCUCUUCCAGGUCACUGUGCCAUUGGGACUUUUUUCUUGAAACUGUCUCAUCUCAAAAGAUCUCUCUCUACUUUUAAAACUGUUUGGAGAAGUAAAGAGCUUUUUUGCUCCCCUUUCUUUGUCAUUAUUUGAGGACUACAUGAUCUGCACCUCUGGAAAUCAAUUUUGUAAGAGCCUGAGCAGCUACUAGAUUCAUUAAUUUUAGUUCUUUUUGCUAAUGGUGUGUUUUUACUCUGUGUCCUUGGGCAACGUUCUGCUGCUCAUGUUUUUGGUUAUUUUCUUGCUUUGUUGGAUUUGUGAGAAGGGUCUUUUGCAACUUUUAUUGCACAACAGAAACAGAAGCUCUUCUUGACUGUUUUCUAUCCAUUUUCUUGACAUCGGAAAACCAAGCAAUGAGUGAAAUGCCUAAAGGAAAUAGAUACUUCAAGGCAGUUGAAGAUAAGGACAGAUACCAGAAACAGGGAAGCAAAAGAGGAAAUGAAGGCUGUGUCACCAAUUGGUUGGAAAAAAAAAAAGAAUCUGAGUGGUUUUCAGGGUCAGAUAGGGUGAAAAUCAGGGUGCAUGAGCCAGGUAAAUACAUACUGAAGAUUCAUGAGUGGGGAUAGGGAGGAGAUGAGAAAAAGGUUUGUGAACAAUGAUAAGGAUCAUUGGAAGAGCUGAAAGGAACAGAAAUGUGCACUGGAUGAACUGAUUCCACUGCUACUCACCAACACUGAGUACUCAAACUGAUGCACAGCAAAUGCAUGUGAACUAAAGAUGUUCAGAGAUGUUAAAUUCUUAUUUUGGGGUGCUUAACUGGAUGUCCUCUCUCACAUCUUAUUGUUAAUUUAAACCACUGCCAAGCAAGAAUGCGAAAUACAUCAAGACACUUUGUUCUCUCAAUCUUCUGUAAAUAUAAUAAUAUACUUUUGGCUGCUAUAGAAAGCUUAUAGGCUUUCAGCUGUUUAACUGCAUAGUCAGUAAUGCCAUUAAACUCACUAAAACCUCUCAAGUACCCAAGAUGUGAUACAUCGUGGGAGAGACUUCAUUCCAGACUGCUCCAAUAGUCCUCACUAAGGACAUAGGGAGAAUAAAGUCCUGGGUGAUCAUAAAAACCAUUUUAAUAAGUUAAUGAUUAAAUGAAUAAUGAGAAGUAUGAGUCUACAUAGCUUUUGGCUCAUGACUGUAAAUAAUUUUUCUGUGAGUUUGAACAAGAGAAAGUGGGACUGAAGUAGAGAUGUGUGCAGUCUCCCUUUUAGGCUUCUCCUUUACACAGUAAUUAUUGCAGGAAUAUUCCUGUGAAAGCUUCUGAGACCUCUUUGAUUUCCACGGCCUUAAGUUAGAGCUGCAGGAGCUCCUGGGAUCCACUGGUGAACUUUGGAUCCACUUUGCAUUCCUUUAUACAAACCCCAGUUUGAAUGGGGGUGUGUAACAACCCCCACAUGCUGUGGGGCAGGGUUCUGUUUGCAUUCCAAAUCACACUGCUCUUGCCUUGGUGCUGUCAUUUCUGCUCUCUGUUUGAAGCUCCUUGAGUUUUCUGCUGCUUAAGUGUCCCUAAUUAAAAGGGGGCUGACUAAAAACUGAUGCCAUCCUCUCUUAUCAGAGGUUUUGCACAGAGCAAGAAAUUUUCACAGCUGAGUUUUGCCUCACACUCUGGGUUUUUUGUUUUUUCCUUUUUUUCUUUUUUUUUUUUUUUGCAAAGGGAAUCUAUCUAAAAUCAAGAUUCAUUUAAUCACAGUCUAACUUCAUAAUCCCAGUAGAGAUCUUUUUAUUUCAUGUUGUAUUUUCAGAAGAAGAUUAAAUAAAAAAUAUUGAUGAAGGAGAUUCUA